rnacentral:rRNA from 1 species
CCCUUAGAUGUUCUGGGCCGCACGCGCGCUACACUGAUGCAUUCAACGAGUUUCUUCCUGGUCCGAGAGGAAUGGGUAACCUUUUGAAAAUGCAUCGUGAUAGGGAUAGACUAUUGCAAUUAUUGGUCUUCAACGAGGAAUUCCUAGUAGACGUAGUUCAUCAGACUGCAUCGAUUACGUCCCUGCCCUUUUUACACACCGCCCGUCGCUCCUACCGAUUGAAUGCUCAGGUGAGCCAUUCGGACUUUCAUCAUGCUGGUUUCCAGUUUUGAUGAAGGAAAGUCUUGCGAACCUUAUCAUUUAGAGGAAGGAGAAGUCGUAACA